GCUCUGUGAUGAGAAAUAGCCAAAUCUGAGCACUGAAAGGUCAGCUGAUCUUAUAGUGCAUGAUUUAUAUACUGAUCUGGGA